rnacentral:rRNA from 1 species
GAGAUUCCGAAAGUAGCGGCGAGCGAAAUCGGAUUAGCCCUUAAGCUUUAGUGUAGUUAGUGGAACAUUCUGGAAAGUUUGACGAUACAGGGUGACAGUCCCGUACACAAAAACUUAUCUAAAGUGAAAUCGAGUAGGUCGGAGCACGUGAAACUUUGACUGAAUAUAGGUGGACCAUCAUCUAAGGCUAAAUACUCCCAACUGACCGAUAGUGAACCAGUACCGUGAGGGAAAGGUGAAAAGCACCCCGGGAGGGGAGUGAAAUAGAACCUGAAACCGUGUGCCUACAACAAGUUCGAGCCCGUUAAUGGGUGAGAGCGUGCCUUUUGUAGAAUGAACCGGCGAGUUACGUUAUGAUGCGAGGUUAAGUUGAAGAGACGGAGCCGUAGGGAAACCGAGUCUUAAUAGGGCGCAUUAGUAUCAUGUCGUAGACCCGAAACCAUGU